GCUGUGAGAAACAGACAGAGAGGUGCCUGCAAAGGAGGUGGAGAAAAGCUGAAGCACACAAAGACUCUGAAGGGAACAGUCACUCCCACGAAGGACUGUCAAGGAGAAAACAGCUUCUGAGGAGGAUCAGAAAAGCUAAAGAAUGGAGAGGAGAUGAUCAGUCUCCACCAGUUGACCUCAGGCUGACGGCUAUUUGUGGCGUGAUCACGGAGAAGUGUGGGAAAGCAGGAAAGACUUUCACAGCAGGAUGGACGCCAAAGAACAAACGUUGGGCCUCCUGACGACGAUUUGGGUCAAGCUGCGAGGUCUGUCCAGCGAGAACCCAGUAGAUCUGGGAGCUUUCUUCGUCAUCUUAGCUUUCAUCUUGAUGGUCACACUCGCGUUGGUGCUGGUCAGCGUCAGCUACUGCUGCUGCUGCUGCUGUCGCAAGAAGAAGCGGGACGGAGCCAUACUUUGAGGGGAACGACUUCCACGGCAAACGCAGAGCCAACAAUUCAUUCUGAAGAGUGUAUAUCACAAAGGAUGUGCCCCACCCUAAAACAAACUGGCAAAAAGCUGACAAACACGUCAGAUUUCUGGAAAAGCAGCAUUCCUUGGAGCAUCCCUGCCCUACCUCUCAGUCUGGAGGAAAAGGAGGGACCGACUGAGAAUAUUUUAAUAUAAAAACACAGUAAAAGUAAAGUUUUGGAUAAAAUGUCUGAAUUUA